rnacentral:rRNA from 1 species
AACGAACGCUGGCGGCAUGCCUAACACAUGCAAGUCGAACGAAACCUUCGGGCCUAAUGGCGCACGGCUGCGUAACGCGUGGGAACUUGCCCGUAGGUUCGGAGUCAUUCCCUGAAAGGGGUGCUAAUACCGGUGAAUGUCAUCGGACCAAAGAUUUAUCGCUUCUGGAUGGGCACGCGUUGGUUUAGCUAGUUGGUAGUGUAAAAGCCGACUAAGGAGACGAUCCUUAGCUGGUCGGUGAGGAUGAUCUGCCGCACUGGGACUGAGACACGGCCCAGACUCUUACGGGAGGCUGCAGUAGGUGACAUUAUACAAUGGACCAAAGCGUAAUGAAGCCGUGCAGUGGGUGUGAUGAAGGCCGUAGGAUUGUAAUGCUGUUUUACGCGGGCUGAUAAUGACAGUACCGUGAGAAUAAGCUCCGGCUAACUCCGUG